AAUUGGCGAGAAAAAUAUUUUUGAAAACAAAAUUUGGUGGGAAUUUUUUUUUCGAAACUUUUUGGCGGGAAUAUUCAUUUUGGAAUAUUUUAGGUGAAAAAAUAUUAAUAUUUCAUUUUGUUAACCUAAAACAAUUUCCAAAUAAGGGUAAAAUGGUCAUUAAAAAAUUAAAGAGGGUAGAAAUAAAAAUGGAUAAAACAAAAUGGUAAAGUUGAAAAGGGGCAUCAUGAAAAGGGCAUUUGAAAGAAUUUUUCUAUAUUGAAUUGGAUAUUGUUACUUGUAUUUAUGUUUUUUGUUUCAUUUUUAAACGUUGACAAAACCAUUAAAUUGAAGUUUUGUAGUAUAUUUAUUUGUCGAAAAUUUAUUCCCAUUAAAUAUA
rnacentral:sRNA from 1 species